GGCAACAGUACACUCAAAUCAGGAUCAUUUGAAGAGAGUUUCAUAGAGACCACUCCCCAUGUUGUGGUAAGGUCGGGAACAGCUGGGUGCCAUUAUCACCGGGGUCUGACAUGGCCAGUGGAGGAGGACGAUACUGGAACCUGCAGGCAGAGAAGGCUGGACGGACACAGAGACGCCCCACAGCAGCAGAUAAGGACACCUGACAUGGACCGGGAAGAGACCUGCUGGGAGCAGAGAGGACACAGAGAGACACACAAGGGAAGAAGACCAUGAGAAGACACAGGCAGAGACUGGAAUGAUGCAGCCAGAAACCACUGGAAUUGGGCAGAAGCAAGAAAGGAUUCUUCCCUCGAGCCUUUAGAGGGAGCCUGGCCCUGCCCACACUUUGACUUUGGAUUUCUAGUCUCCAGAA